GGGGGGGGGGGGGGGGGGGGGGGGGGGGGGGGGGGGGGGGGGGGGGGGGGGGGGGGGGGGGGGGGGGGGGGGAAUGACGUUAUGGCCUGGUCCUCGGCGAGCAGGAGUGGUGGAUGCCCGGCAGUGGGUGCAGAGGGCAGGAAGGAGCUGCGUGUGCCCUGCCCGGGGAGUGUCUGGAACUCACAGGUGGAAAGAGUAAAGUGAUCUGCUGGAUUUACAUUGAGAACGAGAGAUGGGUGGAUCCUAUACUUAGAAGGGCAAAGGAACUUCACAUGGCAAAAGCAGAACUCAGGAUAUGUUGGCCAUAA
rnacentral:lncRNA from 12 species